GCAGACAGUCGGCUUGGAUAAUCGGCUCACCGUGAUUGAGCCCAGACAAUACGCAGUAGUGGCAUCGGUUGUCUGCUAAAAACGACGAUAUGACGACGGGAUUGCUGGUGGGAUGCGCUACGGCGCUGAUUCUGGUUUUUGCCGGCAAUAACGAUGCGGCCGUUAUGAAAGGCACACUAUCUUGGCAGAUCGAAGUGACCGCCUUCUUCUCGUACAAGUCCACCGCCGACCGGGACAGUAUGCUGCAGCAAAUACUGGAUGUGUGGAAAACAAAAUUUGAUGAUAAAUACCAGCUGUACGAUGAGAAGAUCACGGUCGUCACCGAACUGCCGGGUCCAGAAGCCUUCGAGCAGUACAAACAGCUGACAUUCCGCAUCAGCGGGAAAGGACCAACCGGCUUCAAUCUCAAGCCCCUUGUCAGCAGUUUUAACACCGCUAUUACGGCGGCCGCUAUUCCCGGCGUGGAACUCUAUCUGACCAGCGGCUCCAGCACUGACGGCUCGACAAGGUUCAAUGUCGACGUCCAGGCCAACUUUGUGUACUCGUCCAGUGGAGCUCGGGAUCGUCUUUUGCAGCAGAUUCUGGCUCUGUUCAAGACCCAAUUCGCGAGUUAUUCCUUCACCAACCUGAAAAUCGCCGUCCAAUCGGAACAACCGUCGGACGUGGAGGGAGCCAAACUGUUGACCUUCCGUAUCUCUGGUCAGAGCAGCGGUGACAUCGAUAUUAAGACGCUCAACACCAAAUUCAUGGCGGCCAUCAAGACCUCCAAGAUUACCGGUAUCACCCUGCCUGAAUCCAGCGGCGACACCGACGAAGCUACCACAGCUUCGACGGAAACGGACGAGGGUGCCACAUCCAGCAACGACACUGACGAAGGCACAUCAGCCACGGGUGGCAAUAAAUUUACCGUCACGUUUAACGUCGUCGUCAAGUACAACACCCAGACGGAGCUGGACGCCAUCCUGCAACAAAUCCUGCAGAUUUUUAAACAGAAAUACGGUUCCCUGUACGGCGCCACACAAAUUACCAUCAAAGUCACCGGGAACAAACCAAACCCGUCUGGAGGAUUCUCGUUGACCAUUGUGAUUACCGGCUCCAGCAAGACACCGAUCAACGUUACCAAAGUUACCAAGGAAUUUGUUACUGUCGUUUCGUCUUCAAAGAUCACGGGAGUACAGAUCGUCACGGGAGGCAGCGCUACCGGCGGUGGUAGCGGCACCUCGGAAGAGGGUGGUGAGACCGAAGAAGGAACCACGCCCAAGGCUGAUACUGAGGAAGGAACCACACUGUCAUCUGAAACCGAAGGUGGUUCCACACCAAAAUCAGAAACCGAGGAAGGUACCACGCCAGCUUCAGGAACCGAGGAAGGUACCACGCCAGCUUCAGGAACCGAGGAAGGUACCACGCCAACGUCAGGAAGCGAGGAUGGUACCACACCUAAAUCUGGAACCGAAGAAGGCACUACACCAGCUUCCGGAACCGAGGAAGGUACUACACCAAGAUCAGGUACUGAGGAAGGUACCACGUCAGCUUCAGGAACCGAGGAAGGCACCAUGCCAAAUUCCGGAACCGAAGACGGUACCACACCUCAGGCUGGCACGGAAGAGGGUACUACACCCAAAACCGAUACAGAUGAGGCGACCACACCCAAGAACGAUAGCGAAGAAGGCACAACACCGCAGUCAAAGCCUGAUGAUGGCACUAGCGAUUCCGGCAACACGUUCACGUUGGAAUACACCGUUAUACUACGCUUUGUCACCCCGGUGCAGCGCGACCGUUUGCUGCAGCAGAUCCUGCAAUUGUGGAUCAAAACUUACGGUGGUAAAUACGGCGUGGUCAAUCCACAGAUCACUGCCACUGGCUCUGCGAAACCGAGCACCAGCGUCACCGGUUCCUUCGUGGUGACUUACACCAUCACCGGCACGAGUAGCACCCCGGUUCCCGACACCGUCAAAGUGGACUUUAACAAGGUUCUGAACAACGCUAAGAUCAGCGGAGUGGUGGUCGACGAGGACACCACCCAGGGCGACAACAGCGUGGAAGGCAGCACGGGUGACGGAUCCAGCGGGGAUCAGGAGGUCACCAAUACCGGGGCGGCAGGACGCGAUCUGUGCAGUACCGUCAGCGUCAACCAGAUCAACGGCCGAACCAUUACACGUGGAACCUUCAGCACCAACUUCACGGUGUACUUAACGUACAAGACCGCAUCAGUCAGGAAUGACAUCUUGCAGAAGCUGUUGGCUAUUUGGGGCGACACCUUAGAUCAGGCCACCAAGCUGAAAAUGUGUUUCUACACGGAGCAGCUGAGCAUCGGGAAACUGGAAGGCGGACUGGUGGUCAACAAGGUCACCUACGGGAUCAGCGGUAUGGCCACGGUGAAUUUCAAUACCGCGGCGGUGGCCAAAGUCUUCGAGCAAGCUGUUGCUGACUCCAGCCUGCAGAAUGUCUUCUUUACCACCGAUUUCGGAGACUGCAGCACCAAAGCCGUUCCUGACACCAAUCAGUUCACGAUUACCGUCAGCGUGAUCAUUAAGUACAAGUCACAAACGGAGCUGGACACCAUUUUACAGCAGAUCCUCAGGCUUUGGAUCCAGAAAUACGGUUCGAUUUACGGCGCUACCCGUGUCACGAUUAAAGUAACCGGAAAGAAACCCAAUCCCAGCGGAGGCUUCUCGUUGACAAUCGUCAUUUCCGGAUCCAGCAGAACCGUGAUCGAUGUCACUAAAGUUACCAAGGAGUUCAUCACCGUCAUUUCUAAAUCCAAGAUCACCGGAGUGACAAUUACCACUGGCGGUAGCGUUACCGGUGGUGGCAGUGCCACAUCGGAGGAAGGUGGUGAAACCGAAGAAGGAACCACACCAAAAUCUCAAGCCGAGGAAGGUACCACACCGAAAUCGGAAACCGAAGAGGGAACCACACCCAAAUCCGAAACCGAAGAGGGAACCACACCCAAGUCGGAAACCAACGAAGGCACAACCCCGUCUGGAAACACCGACGAAGGUACCACCCCGAAAUCGCACACCGGUUCCACACCUCAGCCUGAUGUUGACCUGGACACCACACCUAAAUCCGGAACGGAGGAAGGUACCACGCCGAACUCAGGAACCGAAGAAGGAACCACACCCAAAGCCGAUACCGAAGAACGUACCACCCCGCAGUCGAAAACCGAAGAGGGCACCACGCCCAGCGGCGAGACCGAAGAAGGUACUCCGUCCACGGGCGGCAACAAGUUCACCGUGACUGUCAACGUCAUCGUUAAGUAUAGUACGCAAACGGAAUUGGACGCUAUUCUGCAACAACUCUUGAAGAUCUGGAUCCAGAAAUACGGUUCGCUGUACGGUGCGACACACGUUACCAUUAAGGUCACUGGAAAGAAACCAAACCCAAGCGGAGGAUUCUCCUUGACCAUUAUCAUUACCGGCUCCAGCAAGACCGUGAUCAACGUCACCAAAGUCACCAAGGGAAUUCGUUACGGUUAUUUCCUCUUCCAAAAUUACCGGAGUGCAGAUCAUCACAGGAGGUAGCGUGACCGGUGGUGGCAGCGGUACAUCGGAGGAAGGCGGAGAGACCGAAGAAGGAACUACCCCCAAAAGUGAAACCGAGGAGGGCACCACACCAAAAUCAGGAACCGAAGAAGGAACAUCGCCCAAGACCGACUCUGAGGAAGGAACCACACCCAA